rnacentral:tRNA from 1 species
GUUAUUUUGGCAGAUUAGUGUAAUAAAUUUAGAAUUUAUAUAAAAUAUAUAUUAUAUAUUAUAUAACA